rnacentral:rRNA from 1 species
CCAAUAGCGUAUAUUAAAGUUGUUGCAGUUAAAAAGCUCGUAGUUGAACCUCGGGAUCAAUGAAUCGGUCAUGCUUUUCGUAUGUACUGGUUUUAUUGGUUCUCACCUUCUAAGGAACCUUAAUGUCAUUCAUUUGAUGUUUUGGGGAAUUAGGACUGUUACCUUGAAAAAAUUAGAGUGUUUAAAGCAGGCUAACGCUUGAAUACAUUAGCAUGGAAUAAUGAAAUAGGACAUCGCAUUCUAUUUUGUUGGUUUCUAGGAUCGAUGUAAUGAUUAAUAGGGAUAGUUGGGGGCAUUAGUAUUCAAUUGUCAGAGGUGAAAUUCUUGGAUUUAUUGAAGACUAACUAUUGCGAAAGCAUUUGCCAAGGAUGUUUUCAUUAAUCAAGAACGAAAGUUAGGGGAUCGAAGACGAUCAGAUACCGUCGUAGUCUUAACCAUAAACUAUGCCGACUAGGGAUCGGAUGAUGUCGAUUUUUUAAUGACUCAUUCGGCACCUUACG